CAUAUUGCUUCAUGUGUGAGGAAUGAUGCAUGUUCAGUCUGUUUCCAUGCCAGGGCCACUAGUCAGAGGGCUCCCUGAGCGCCCUCCGUGGGAGCGGGCAUCUGCCCCUCUGUAGGGUGUCCCUCCGCGGGGACACGGGCAUGGCCCACACCUCUCAUCCCUCUGCCUCGGAGACCCCAGGCGGGCUAAGCCCUCGGGGAAGAGCGGCGGGCUGCUUGCUGUGCGUGAGCGUUCGCAUGCUUCCUGACGCACAAUACACAGUCGACCUCUUUAGUAUCCAUCCCGCCUCGCAUGCCUCCUGCACGACCACCGGCCCAGGAGGGCCCAGCAUGUGCCCACUGGCAUCCCAUGGAACUGGGCCAUCCCAUGGCAGCAGGCGGGCGGGUGGCGGGUGGCGGGGCUGCCGCACGAGGAAGAAGCCUCCGUCGGGAGUGCUCUGCGCCUGGUACCUGACAGAGGUUGCCUGUGAGGUGUUCACUGUCUAUACGAUGAAUAUUAUACAGUCAACCUCUUUCCGGUAUCGAAUCCCGCCGGGGACGACCUUCCCUUCGAGUGCUGACCCCAGGCGGCGGAAGCCUCUGCGUCGGGGCCCCAAGGCCCUGGCGUCGGACCUGGGCCACCUGGUCUAUUAAUUUUCCAGCUCCAUCCUGUGCGGAGGGCUCCUGAAAGCACACGGAGCGGUCUCCCUGGCUCCAGAGCCCCUGGCUGCAGGCAUGGGUGCUCGGGGGGCGGGGGACGUGGAGAGGGAGGAUCCCCUGCGCUGGGCAGCCCCAUUCUCCCCUAGCCUGGCCCUGCCCAGACCACAUCAAGGUCACUUUGGUAGAGAAGGUUCUGGAAAGGUGAACCGCCAGAGCACCUCCAAAGGUGGAGGCAGGCCAUUUGGUAUUUGUUCCUGGUGGCCUGGGCCUCAGGGAGCCCUUUCUGAGGGGGGUGGGGCUGGGACUCUCCGGCUGCCCAUUGCUGUAUUGUCCCUGCUUACUGCCACCCCUAGCAGACUGCACGGCCACUCAGGUCUCAGGGCAGGAAGUUGUCCUGUCCCUGCUCUGUCCCCUGCCACGGGGCACAGGCCAGGCCCAGGGUAGAGCAACUGUGAGUGUUCCCUGACUAAGGAACUCAGGACCUCCGGGGCCUCUCAGGUUCAUCCCUGGGUAAGUGCCCUGCGCAGAGGAGGCAGAGGAGGCCUGAGGUGUGGUGAGGAGCGCGAGCAUAUGGUAAUCAGCUCUUAGACUAACAUUCUUCCCGUUUGUUCAAAGCUGUCCGGUUUCCCCCUUUUCUGCCCCACUCAGGGUGUCAUUGGAGAGCCUGAGGCCACAGGGAUCGGUCAGGUGGGCCUGGGCUUCCUGUCCACUUUCCAGGGGACCCCGAAGGGAGUGGCGAGUCCCAGUAUAACCCAGCAGACAACCAGUGGAGCCCCCAACAUCCCAGCCAAUCCUCCAGCGCUCGGGGCCCGGUGUCAGAGCUAAUAUUUUAUGCAUGGAACUGACUAAAUGGGGACAUUUGGAGACGAAAAUUGCUGUUAAUGCAUCCACACAUCUUCGGAAUAUAUUACAUGUGUGCGGGGGGGGGGGUGGGAGGCAACAUCGGCCUUAUUUAAUAGCUCCAAUGUAUCCAUCCCCACGCCGCAGCAAUAAAAAGCACGGUGCCCCCCGGGUCUCCCAGGCCACCCCCCAGGCGGAGCAUGGGGCACAUCGGCCCCCACCUGGGAGUCACGCGUGAGACAGAUGUCAGCCCAGGGGACCAGGCGCUCGGCAGCGUGCAUGUCCCGAACUCAUUUUAAACCCGAAGAGGGUGACCCCAUACUGCUCGGCGCAGAAUUUCAUUAAAAGCCAAAUCACUGGUUUAUCUACUGUUUGAGGAUGAAAGCAAAUAAACAAAGGGCCUCCCUCAUCCGCCAGGCCGAGUGGAAAUGCCUCCUCACAGUGGCAGGGACGGAGGUGACUGGGGCCACCUCGGGCACCGCCCAGAUCCGGCCUCGGUCCACACACCUGGCGAAUAGGCAUUUUCCUUCCUUGGAAAAACCAGGGUGACGCGGCACCCAGGGCUAAGGUCCGCACGUGGGAUUCAGUCCCUGAAUGCUCGCUGCCACCCUGCCGUAGAGCUUCUGGAAGCCAUGGCUUGGACUGUCCGGCCGGCUCAUAGUAGGUGCUCCGCUAAUGCCCGGCUCAAGGCUGGCCACAGACACCAGCACAAAGUAGGUGUUCAAGAUGUGAGGGUAUAUUGAAUCGGAUCUCUUUACCCCCAGGAGGCCCUGGGAGGACGUUUGUGGAAUGAAUAAAUAACUGUGCUCUUGCAGGGAAUAAAGAAGCAGAGAAACGAAGAAGGAUUCAGGGAAGAUGGACAUAAAUCUCCACCAAGGCUCUGCAGUCCAGGAAAGACCCCGCGGAGGGAGAGGUGCCAUUUGUCACCGGUGGACAGGCUCGAGGGCCGGGAAGCACACGGGACCGGACACUUGGCAGGGACGUCCCCAUGGGUGGAGCCUUCGGUCGAUCCCAGCCAUGAGCCGAAAGCUAGACCAGACCACUUCUGCCGGGAGUGACCUGGGCUGGGAGCCCGGCCUGACCGCGGAUCAUCCUUGGGUCUGGCCCUGCUUGCUCCGAGCCCUCUCCUCCCAUCUCCUGCUCCAUUGGACUCCACAGUGGCCCCUGCUCCUGGAGAUGGGACCACACAGCGGCCAGACCAGCGCCUUCUCCCGCCUCACCAGGAACCACCACCGCUUAAAGGACCUGACUGAGCGCCCAGGGCGGUCCCUCCGUGUGGGACAGGCUGGACUUCUCUGUGGCCCGGGGAGGACUGUGGGCAUGGGGGGGACCCAGGGCGCGGGGAGGCGUCCUGAGUGACAAACUCCAAUGAAAGAGCCACCGACCCCCGACCGGGAAGGACAGAGGGGUCCCGCUCCGCCUUUUCAGCCCCUCGGACUGUUGUCAGCCUGUUUGAAUAAUAAACCCACAAGAUAA